rnacentral:rRNA from 1 species
CGGAGAAAUUCAAUACUGUUCUUCRCGGAACGGUGUGCACUUUUCUCUUAGUAAGACGUUGUGAUCCAUUAGGAAUCGAUUUACCGCAYGGUUUAUCAUUGUGCUACCAACAGGCUGACGUUGAAGUUCAUCCAGUCGAAUGGCGCGAUCUUUUGGUUGUGUGUAUCGACGGGUGAGCAAUGUCNUGUACUGAUGUAGCUGCCUGAUGGAUUUUAAAGGUCACAUCAUUGAUGCUUGCAUCANNCCCGCCUUCGGGCGGGUUAUAGGAUGUGUGCCCGAUCAACAACGGUUUCAUUUGGGAUACCUUUUGGACCCGUCUUGAAACACGGACCAAGGAGUCUAUCUAGUAUGCGAGUAAAUGGGAUUAACGAACUAAACCUAUUUGCGUAAAUAACUUGACUGUUUAGAUGGGAUUACGUGCAAAUCAUUUCUGUAUAGAGUUUGCACCUCCAUCCCGGGGCAUUUUCACAACAUAUAUGGGCAACUAUAUAUAGAAAAUGUACCAUGAGCAUACUGGACAUGACCCGAAAGAUGGUGAACUAUGCCUGAUCAGGUUGAAGUCAGGGGAAACCCUGAUGGAGGACCGAAGCAAUUCUGACGUGCAAAUCG